rnacentral:rRNA from 1 species
GUGCCAGCCGCCGCGGUAAUACGUAGGGUGCGAGCGUUAAUCGGAAUUACUGGGCGUAAAGUGUGCGCAGGUGGCCGCGCAAGUCGAGUGUGAAAGCCCCGGGCUUAACUUGGGAAUUGCGCUCGAAACUACGUGGCUAGAGUGUGGCAGAGGGAGGUGGAAUUCCACGUGUAGCGGUGAAAUGCGUAGAGAUGUGGAGGAACACCAAUGGCGAAGGCAGCCUCCUGGGCCAACACUGACACUCAUGCACGAAAGCGUGGGGAGCAAACAGGAUUAGAUACCCUCGUAGUCC